rnacentral:rRNA from 1 species
UACAGAGGGGGCAAGCGUUAUUCGGAAUUAUUGGGCGUAAAGGGCUCGUAGGCGGCCUUCUAAGUCGGACGUGAAAUCCCUCGGCUUAACCGAGGAACUGCGUCCGAGACUGAAAGGCUUGAAUCCGGGAGAGGGAUGUGGAAUUCCAGGUGUAGCGGUGAAAUGCGUAGAUAUCUGGAGGAACACCGGUGGCGAAGGCGGCAUCCUGGACCGGCAUUGACGCUGAGGCGCGAAAGCUAGGGGAGCAAACGGG